rnacentral:rRNA from 1 species
AACGAACGCUGGCGGCAUGCCUAACACAUGCAAGUCGAACGAGACCUUCGGGUCUAGUGGCGCACGGGUGCGUAACGCGUGGGAAUCUGCCCUUGGGUUCGGAAUAACAGUGAGAAAUUACUGCUAAUACCGGAUGAUGUCUUCGGACCAAAGAUUUAUCGCCCAGGGAUGAGCCCGCGUAGGAUUAGCUAGUUGGUGGGGUAAUGGCCUACCAAGGCGACGAUCCUUAGCUGGUCUGAGAGGAUGAACAGCCACACUGGGACUGAGACACGGCCCAGACUCCUACGGGAGGCAGCAGUGGGGAAUAUUGGACAAUGGGCGCAAGCCUGAUCCAGCAAUGCCGCGUGAGUGAUGAAGGCCUUAGGGUUGUAAAGCUCUUUUACCCGGGAUGAUAAUGACAGUACCGGGAGAAUAAGCGCCGGCUAACUCCGUG